rnacentral:rRNA from 1 species
UACGUAGGGUGCGAGCGUUGUCCGGAAUUAUUGGGCGUAAAGAGCUCGUAGGCGGUGUGUCACGUCGAUCGUGAAAACUUUCAGCUUAACUGGGAGCUUGCGGUCGAUACGGGCAUCACUGGAGUUCGGCAGGGGAGACUGGAAUUCAAGGUGUAGCGGUGAAAUGCGCAGAUAUCUUGAGGAACACCAGUGGCGAAGGCGGGUCUCUGGACAGUUCCUGACGCUGAGGCACGAAGGCCAGGGGAGCAAACGGG